rnacentral:sRNA from 1 species
CAUUUCGUUAGGGAUUCAUUAGGUAUUAGAAUCGUACUGUAGCGUUGCGUAAUCCAGUCAUAUGGAUUUGAGUGGCUCCUAUCCACUCUGUUCGACGCCUCCCUGUUAGAACUUGAGCCGCGGCUUCCGCGGCUCUUUUUUG